UUUCCUCUUUCCCUCUUUAAUACCUCAUGGCCAAACCUCUCUAGUGUUUCUCCUAACUUUUCUGAAUCCCUAACCCUCUCUCUCGUUUUUCUCAACUGGCCCCAAGCAGUAAUGGAGCUCUCCUCUGUUUCUCUCAUCUUGGUGUCUCUCUCUCUCUCUCUCUCUCGCAAAGAAGGUGAAGAUGGUUAAGGAGAAUUUCACGCAUUCCUUUUUCAUCUUCUUGGCUUUAGUGAAUGUUGGUGGUCAUUGGUGAAACUUGUCCAAUAUAUGAGUGGAUGCAGGACUUGCAUAUGGACACACGUGGCUUCAUUAGAAAGCAUGGAAUUUAGUUGGCUGGUGGUUGGAUCACAACGAAGGGCUCGAUGCAAAGGCAGGGGGCUUGGCUCUCUCACUCCUUCAUCCACCCAUCUCUCGCUCGGGCUAGGCUUGACGACGGCUGGGGGUUCAAGGGCGCUACAGCGGCUGGGGGCUCAGGGGGUGGGCUCGACGGCGAGUGGGGUUCUCUGGGCUGGCUGGGCUCGACGGCAUGGGGGUCUCGGGGGUGGGAUCGACCGUGGUUCAUUAGAAUGAAAUACUUUUACUAUUGCUUCAUUAUAACUAAUAAAAUUAUUUUCUUAUUAUUAUUAAUAAUGCUCAAAACAAAUGGGUUAGUUUUGCAGAUCCUGAGAGAUUUAGAUUUACAAGAGACACAUCAUUUGGAAGAAGGCAUUUGAACUUUUGGAGCCAGCCACCAUUUUCACUUUAGAUUGUAUGUUUUUCAGACAAUUCUUUGGGUCAGUCACUAAGGUUGAUUACAUGACCCUGAGGCAUGGAUUUGUCAUGAUAUGCUACCCAAUCAUGGCCUGAAAGUUGCUUUAAAUUACACAAAAUUGAUCACUGGACCUGAUGAAUACUGCCUAUGCUUUUCCCAUUUUAGGCACAUUUGGCUCCAGAAAGUGAAACAAGAUUUGUUUUUCAGAAAUACAUUAGCAGAACACUUGAAGAGGAUUUUGUAGUUGUUGUUGGGAUAACGUUAGUGUUUCAGCCUUUAAACUCGUCAGCUUAUAUAUACAUAUAUAUAUAUAUUUAUAUAUGUGAGGAUAACACCUGAACUGUGCUUUGGUUCGUUGCAGUAUUGUUUCUACUGUCUAAUACAUAUGAUUUGUUGAAGGCAUGGCUCUAGUGUAUUUUAGAUCUACUUGGCAAUGAGCUCGGCAUCUUAUAUAGGAUGGUUCAUCUAAUAACUUCUAGUACUAGGCGGCAUGUUUUUGUUGUUUCGGGAACUAAAGAGAAAGAGCACAGCAGCGGCUGCACUCAAGUCACUUCAACAUAAACUUGAGAAAUACAAGAUAGAGUUGAACAAUUCGAAUAGGAAUACUCAUAACUUGUUCAUGUUGUACUUGAUUGAUUACUUAUAAAUUGAGAUUAUAUUUGUACCAAUUUGAUGAAAUAUAUUUUGAUUAAGUUUGCUA